GUUGAAGAUGUGAUGAGUUUGUCAUGUCUCUUCUCUGAUACAAGAAGUGGAGAAACAUUCAACUCUCUCUGAUCUCAGC
ensembl:snoRNA